GACUGUUAAAAAGCUUAAAAUUGUUAGCUAUUAAUGCAUUAAAUUACUUGUCUCUAAAGAAGUAUUAUUUUCAUCAAACAGGCCGUACUGGAUGCUCUUACUUAUUUUUGUCAAGACCUUCCUGAUGUGACCACUUAAAGCCUGGGGGCUGGAUUAUUCCACUGAAGUCAUCAACACAAUGCAUGUGAAAGGAAGAAGAUUCACCUCUCCCUCUAGUUAAGAGGAAACACAUAUGACCUGUUCAGCAGCAAUUCUUCUCAAGCAUCAAGAAGAUAUGGACCAGAAGCCAGCAGCACAGUGCCAGGCCCAGCCGCUCGCAGAUGUUCAAGAUAAUCAAAUAUUUAGCAGCCGUUGCUCUGGCAAAACACAGCGUCUGGCCAUGGCUGACAAAGCCGGGACAAAGCUGAGCUCCUUCCUCGCCUGGCCCCUGCCGCAGCAGUGGAGGUCCUCAGAGGACAGCCCUCGCCACAGGAAGCACGCGGGUUUCACCCACCGGUUGCCUGGGAGGAAGGGCCAAGUGUCUGUUACCUGCCAACACCAGGAGGAGUGGAAGAGCUGUUUGUUUAGGUGAGACUAGUGCUCUAUGAACUUUUUAAUUGCAAGGAGCAAGCUGCUAUUUUUAACUGUUAAAC